CUUAUCACCACUGACCCCUCAACCAGGUCCCCUUACAACUUUAAGGACCAGGUGAGAAGUGAGCUCCCUAAAGAAUAAAGAACAAGUUAAUCUCAUUAAGUGAUGAUAGGAGAGUCACUCCGCAGAUCCUAGAGGCAGUCUCAGUUGGACUCUGCAGGUCGCCCUAUAAUCCCAGUACUAGUGAAGUAGAGAUCCAGAGGAUAGUGGUUCCAAAGUCAGCCCAAAACUAGUUGCAAAAACUUAGCAAGAAUCUAUCUCAACUAACAAGCCAGGUAGCGUGGGACAUGUCUGUGCCCAUGACUGUAAUCCUAGCUUUCAAGAGGCCUAGGGUAGGAGGCAUCAAAGUCUAAGGCUGGCAGUUAGCAAAAAGUCAAGACACUACUGAAAAAUAACAAAAGCCAAAAAGAGCUGAGAGCAUGGCUCAAAUGGCAGAGUGCUUAACUAGUAAAUUGAGGCCCUGAGUUCAAAACCCUAAUACCACCAAAAAUCAAACAAA